UCCACGAUGAAGAGUUCAAAUGUUUCCUUCAGCGCAGGAAAGUGGUGGAAGAGUUUGUUUCUCCUCCACUGUUGAAGACUGUUCAGAGUUUCUCUGAUGGAGGAAACAUAGUCUGAGUGGA